rnacentral:lncRNA from 1 species
AUGGCGGCGAUUGACCGAGCGUUGCCAGAUGCUGUCCUGCCGGACAUUAUUCUUCACAUGGUCCUGAAGGAGGGUGUAACAAAAUGGAGAGCCAGGAAUUCUUCAAAAUGUACACACUGCAGCCCUGCGAUGAGGUUUACAAGAACUGCUUACCAGGUCACUGUAGCCACCAGAUCCAGUCUGUAUCCAAGUCAGAGGGUCACUGCAGUCACCCGGAUCCAGUACGUAUCCAGCCCAGAUGGUGGAUCAGCACCUAGAAAGGACCUCUACAGCCCUGAAAGACAGCAGAGACCAGGACAGAGCCCCAGAGACAGAUCCCCUGUAAAGACCUUGUCUCAGACGACCACCGGCACAAGACCACAGGAAACAGAUGAUUCUUCUGCACAAUCUGACUUUGCUGCAUCCUGGAAUUGAACUGCUGGUUUCGUCUGGUCAGAGGAGAACUGGCCCCCUUGACUGAGCCUGGUUUCUCCUAAGGUUUUUUUCUCCAUUCUGUCACUGAUGGAGUUUUGGUUCCUUGCCACUGUCGCCUCUGGCUUGCUUAGUUGGGGACACUUCAUUUACAGUGAUAUCGUUGACUUGAUUGCAAAUUAUUGCACAGUUACUAUUUAAACUGAACUGAGCUGCAUGAUGACAUCACUGAAUUCAAUGAUUUACAUUUACAUUUAAUCAUUUAGCAGACGCUUUUAUCCAAAGCGACUUACAAAUGAGAACAGUAGAAACAAUCAGAUCAACGAGAACAACAACGGUAUACAAGUGCUAUGACAAGUCUCAGUUAGUCUAGUACAGAACACGUAGCCGUUUAGGGUUUUUUUUUUUUGUGAAUGUGAUAGAAAAGAAAAAAAGGUACACAAUGAUGAACUGCCUUUAACUGAAAAUUGAGUGUUUACUAUUGUCCUUCUGCAUUAUUGACACACUAUUUUCCUAUUUAAUACAGUUGCUUUGACACAAUCUGUUUUAUUAAAUGCACUAUAUAAAUAAAGGAGACUUGACUUGACUAUGUUGGAAGAGGAAAACGAGGAGAGAUGCACACCCAUCCAGGGUUUUGCAGUGAUUGGUGCAAGAUGCUGGAGGAGUAACUCUGUAUAACUCAUCAGUUCCAAUCUGAGAGUCUUGUAAAUACCUCAGGAUUGUUGUUAGUGAUUCUGAUUGAUAUAUCCAUCUGCUUGCUUAUUGGAUGUAUUUUAUACUGUUUACAUUGUAUAGCACUGACUUUGACAACAUACCAAGCCUGUUACAAAUUUAACAGCUACGUUAUAC